AUCUAAGUAAUUAAAAUUUAUAAUAUAAUAUUGAAGUUAUUAAUUUAGGAUUGAAAUCCUCUUAGAUA
rnacentral:tRNA from 1 species